CACUUCUUGUUUUUUCGGAGAAAUUAUCGGUUGGUGAUAGUGAGACAAUGGAAGAAAUUCUAUCAACUCUGACAGUAUUAUUGCCUCUAGAUGGUGAGUCCAAGUCAAUUCUUGGAUCAAAAUCAUCUUUAAAUUGCAUGAUUUGGUUAUUGAAGAGUGGGAGUUUAUCAAGUAGGAGGAAUUCAGUUUUUUUCCUCAAAGAAGUCAUGAGAAUGGAGGAAAUAUGGAGAGUAGAAGAGUUACUAAAGAUUGAUGGAGCUUUGGAAUCUUUAGUGAAGCUUGUGAAAGAGCCAAUUUGUCCUACUACUACAAAGGCUUCUUUAUUAACAAUUUACCAUAUGAUACCAAACUCCCCAAGAACACAACAACACAAACACCAAAAUCAGUCCACCAGUUCAAGAACUAUGGACCCUUUUGAUGACCUCUCUCGGAUUCACAAGAAGAACAAGAAGGGGAGUGAUAUCAAGAGUAAAACACACUAAAACAGCAACAACACUUGAUGAACAAGAUGCAAUAACAGCAACACACGGUUACAAGACAAGAACACAAACGGAUUACACUAAAUAUAGACAAAUGAUUACAAGAAAGUAAAGAUAGAUAGAUAGACAAAGGGAUGGUAUAAUAUUAACAACCCAAAAGAUUAUUCCACUUUUGAACCUUUAAUAUCACACACAACCUAAACCUAUCUCUUACGUGACCUCAACAGAACCGAAAUUCCCCAGCAAUCUCCGUUUCUAAGCAAAUGAUCAACGCAAGGAUUCCACCUUGCUAAAGACUCUCAAAGAGGCUACAAAAUAUAUUCUCCAAAAGUCUCCCAAAAAUGACCUAAUGAGGUGCUAUUUAUACCUAGGUUAACUUAUUACAAAUGAGUAAAGAAAUCCUUGCAAAGGGCGGAUGAACAGUGAAUGGGGAUGAACAUUGAACAGUUUUGGAGGUUAUGGGACUUAUUCUCUACACUUCAAAGCUUGUUCCUUGGAUGGUCAGCCCCCGAGCUCAAGUCUUGACGCAUUGGACCCCGAUCAUGAUUGUACCCGUAUCAUCCUCCCCUCCUUAGAAAGGAUUCGUCCUCGAAUCCGAACCUUGCAAAGCAAUAGGAAGGACAAGUAAACAAAAGUUCCUCAAGGUAUGAGGGUUAGGAUUAGUUUAAUCAAUCAUAGCAUCUUUCCAAGGUGGCUCAAACUUCACAUAUACCCAAACAUCCCUCUUACCCGAAUACCCUACCAAGGGAGAAUCAACUAGUUUAUCCAUAUAAGUGUGACAAGAAACAAGGAACAAGCGUAGCUUAUCAAGUGAAAAACAUAGACUUUUCUUGGAACAACAAUUAGACUUGAAAGCCGAGAGAGGAAAGCCAUACAUUCCAUGCACAUUCAAGUCAUUCCAAAAGACAUCCUUAUUAACACACUUCAAUGAUCAUCGAAAUCAAAUAGGUAGAAUGUCCAUGGGCACGGGUUGUGAAUACACUUCCUUACCCCAAUACUACUACAAUAAUGAUCAAAUGCCCCCUCUAUACUAUCAUGGUCAAUAACAAAAAAAACUAGAGGGUCAUCCUUAGUCAUUCGGACAACAUGUUCAACAUCAUCAUUUUCACACACAAGUUGGUCUUUAUGACUUCCAUAAGACAAUGUACUACCACUUUCUACAAUGGCUUCAAUGCUAGGUGAAUCAACUAGUGUAUCCACAAUCUCAAGUUGUACAUUAUCAUCACAAAAUGAAGGCACAUUCGGCUCACUUAAAAACAAACUAUCAUUCACACUUAGUUGGCUAUUAUCCUCAUUCACUAUAGUGCAAAAGUUAGUUUGAUUACCUUGUAGCUCAAGUGGAGCAUGGCCAUUCAUGGAAAUUUGAUUAGGAAGGCUUGGAUGCUCUAUCAAGUUAUCCAACUUCUUGCACAGAGAGCCUUCCGUCCCUUUCCAUUCUAUCCAUUAUUCACCUAUCUAUGGCAUCAAGCCUUACCAUGAUGGAUUUAACCCAACUAGGCAUUUCAGCUUCAUUCGCUAUUGUACCCAUCAAUAGCUACUAAGCAAACAACACGAAAACAACAAACACAUUAAAGAUUAGCAAAAAUCAGUCCACAAUUCAUCACAAAACAGUCCAUAAUGCGUCUCAAAAUAGUCCACAAUCCCUCACUUUCACACUUUGGAUUUUUCACUCUAUUGUCCUUACAAGUGUUGAUAACUCGCUUAUACUCCAAUGAGGUUACUUGGUCCCAAUUGUGGCUCGAGGUCGAAGUAGAUUCUUGUUUGAAAUGACUCAAAUAAGUAAUGUACGAACUUGAACCAAAAAAGAUACUAUGACUCAAAAUCAAGAAACGCACACAACAAACAACAUUAACACGAAGAACGUACACAAAACUAACUUACAAGCUAGUAGGGUAUUACUAGGUUGUCAAUUCGUGUCGAGCAAACAAACGAAACUAGGAAAUAAUAAAAUGAAAUUAAGAAAUCUAAAAUUUAAACUAAAAAAUAUUGCGUGAACAGUAUUUUAGUGAUGUGGCAGUCCACUAUUGGCCUCAAUUUUUAUCAAAAUUUUAUUUCUCAAUUUCAAGUCUUGAUCAAUAUACAAUUUGGAAUUGGUGGAUUUGGUUAAUGGAGGGAAAAGUGGUCUUGGAGCCUUUUUGUUCAAAUUUCAAAAGCAAAACUUGACUUCUUUGAACUUUCUCCUUGAAACAAGGUCCUUAAAUCAAGAAAAAGUAGAUGAAAAGUCUUUAAAGUGAUAGGGACAAGUCUUUCACUAACAACUACUACAAGCUUGUCUUUCACCUUUUUAGAUCUAGUUUGCACUUUAAGGAUUAACACGAUGAUGAAAGGGUGAAGAAACUUAAGAACACAACAACAACUCCAAGAACAACAACAAUUUCAAUUUCCAACUCCACUACAACAAGACCAUCAAAUCGGCCAAGGUUUAGGUAACAACAAUAUCCAACUAGGCCACACCUUGUUCACAUCAACAACUUCAACAAGUUCAAGUUUAAUCUUAGAUUUGUAUACUUUUUGGUGUUGAUGAGAAAGAAACAACACUAGAAACAAUCUAAACAAACAAAAGACUACAAGUUCUAGACACACAACAAAAAAAUCUUGGCCAAGAUAACAAUAACACAAUUUUCAGCCAAGAACACAAAAUGGACAGAUUUGCACUUUUUCUGGAAUUUUUUUCCAGUUUUCAAUUUUUUUUUUGAAUUUUUCGUCCAAGAGAACCCAAGAUUGGUAGUGUAGGAACACAACUAGCCUUGCUUUGAUAUCAAACUCCCCAAGAACACAACAACACAAACACCAAAAUUAGUCCACUAGUUCAAGAACUAUGAACCCUUUUGAUGACCUCUCUCGGAUUCAAGAACACAAUAAGAAGACCAUGUAAUGAGGUGUUUAACACCUAUUUUCCAGCAGCAAACCAAACUAUAUUAUGACAAUAAAAAUAAAGAACAAUAAUGUUACAACAACAAUAACCAAACGGCUUGAACAACAACAACACAAACUACAAGAUUAGGAAAAGAAACAAAGAUAGAUAGUUAGACAAGUGUUGAUGUAGUCUUAACAACCCAAAACUAGUUCAAGAACUAUGGACCCUAACAAGAUUCCAACAACAUAAGAUUAACAAGAUUACAAGAGGGAUAGUAACUUGACACACAAUAUUCAAUGAUCUAAGAACCCUAACAAGAGAAAGGACCCUAAGAUUAAUGCAUAUUAAUACCAAGCUCUUACUUGGACCAAGAGGAACUCAAAGAACCCCAAGACCCUAGUUUCUAGCCAAGAGACAACGCUAGUAUCACUCUACUAGUGAGUUUUCGGAAUUGGGGCUUCUCCAAUGAAAGAGAGAAGUUCCAAAAUAUUACAAAGUGUUUGUUGUCUUCCAAAAUAUGUCUUCCAAAACUUGACUUCCCUUGGAAGACUUGACUUCCAAAACUUGAUUUUCCUUGGACCCCGAUCAUGAUCGUACCCGUAUCACAAUGGAAGAAAUUCUAUCAACUUUGACAAUAUUAUUGCCUCUAGAUGGUGAGUCCAAGUCAAUUCUUGGUUCAAAAUCAUCUUUAAAUUGUAUGAUUUGGUUCUUGAAGUGUGGGAGUUUAUCAAGUAGGAGGAAUUCAGUUUUUUUGCUCAAAGAAGUCAUGAGAAUGGAGGAAAUAUGGAGAGUAGAAGAGUUACUAAAGAUUGAUGGAGCUUUGGAAUCUUUAGUG
rnacentral:lncRNA from 1 species